GCUUUCGUGGUGUAGAGGUCAGCCCACUGGACGCUUAACCGAGAGGUCCGUGGUUCGAUUCCCGGCGAAGGCU
rfam:Stegodyphus mimosarum contig34156, whole genome shotgun sequence.